rnacentral:rRNA from 1 species
UGUGAGCAACCUGCCUUUCAGAGGGGGGACAACAGUUGGAAACGACUGCUAAUACCGCAUAAUGUAUUGGAAGGGCAUCCUUUUGAUACCAAAGGAGCAAUCCGCUGAAAGAUGGGCUCACAUCUGAUUAGCUAGUUGGUGGGGUAACGGCCUACCAAGGCUGCGAUCAGUAGCCGGACUGAGAGGUUGAACGGCCACAUUGGGACUGAGAUACGGCCCAGACUCCUACGGGGAGGCAGCAGGUGGGGAAUAUUGGGCAAUGGGCGAAAGCCUGAACCCCCAGCAACGCCGCGUGAAGGGAGAAGGUCUCGGAUUGUAAACUUCUUUUAUGAGGGACGAAGGACGUGACGGUACCUCAUGAAUAAGCCACGGCUAACUACGUGCCAGCCGCAGC